CAGCAUUAGCAGCACAGAUAAAUUACAUCUUUAUUGUGUCUGUUACCCUUUUGUGCUAAAUAUUUCUGCAAUACAUAUAGGAUUUACGCUGCAGAUUACGGACACUGAAGACUAUAAGCAGAAAGUUCAAGUCUGGGUGGCCAGAAGUUACAUUUCAGUGAUCUGGUUACCGCCUCUCUCUGCAAACCCAAAGGAUCACUUUCCUCAGCGGAUCUACCCCAAUCAUCAUUAAUGGGACCACAUUGGAGAGAGUGAGCAUCUUCAAAUACCUUCAAAUGUCCUGCAAAGAGUAGCUGGGCACAUGUCCAGAACAUCUCUCCCUUCUCUGCAAGACAUCCAUACCAGGAGAUGUAAAUCUAGGGCUGUUAAGAUCUUUAAAGACCCCACCAACCCAUCUGCUACAGUCAGGCAGACCCUUCUGCAGUCUGAUGGCAAAGA